GAUGAAGAACGCAGCGAAAUGCGAUACGUAAUGUGAAUUGCAGAAUUCAGUGAAUCAUCGAGUCUUUGAACGCACAUUGCCCCCCCUGGUAUUCCGGGGGGCAUGCCUGUCCGAGCGUCAUUGCUGCCCUCAAGCACGGCUUGUGUGUUGGGCCUCCGUCCUCCUCCCGGGGGACGGGCCCGAAAGGCAGCGGCGGCACCGCGUCCGGUCCUCGAGCGUAUGGGGCUUCGUCACCCGCUCUUGUAGGCCCGGCCGGCGCUUGCCGACACAUCAAUCUUUUUUCCAGGUUGACCUCGGAUCAGGUAGGGAUACCCGCUGAACUUAAGCAUAUCAAUAAGCGGAGGA
rnacentral:misc_RNA from 1 species